CCCUAUUAUUUUAGAAUGUUAAAGUUUGUGCCUGAGUAGUAUUAGUUAUGUUCUUGAAACUUAAAGAAUUUGGCGGUAUCUCAUUCCGUUCAGAGGAAUCUGUCUCGUUAUCGAUAGUCCACGUUGGACCUUACUUAGUUGAAAUUUGGUUUGUAUACCGCCGUUUAUUGAUUAUCUUUUUAGAGUUUGUGUUAAUUUUCUAGUUUCUUUAUUUAGAUGUAUUUCAGGUCAAGGUGCAGCUUGUUUCUAAGUGGAAAUGAUGGAUUACAUUGUUAUUUGUGUUUGUGGAUUGUUAAUUUUAAUAUUGGCAUGAAAUUGGAUUUGGUUGUAAUAAUUUGAAGACUGUUAUUAUGAUAAUUGGUUCUGAGAUAUGCACACAUCGCCCGUCGCUCUCGUUU
rnacentral:rRNA from 1 species